CGGGUCAACAAAGAGAGGCAAAGCCGCGAGGUGGAGCAAAUCUCAAAAAGCCGUCCCAGUUCGGAUUGCAGGCUGCAACCCGCCUGCAUGAAGUUGGAAUCGCUAGUAAUCGCGGAUCAGCAUGCCGCGGUGAAUACGUUCCCGGGCCUUGUACACACCGCCCGUCACACCAUGAGAGUCGGGAACACCCGAAGUCCGUAGCCUAACCGCAAGGGGGGCGCGGCCGAAGGUGGGUUCGAUAAUUGGGGUGAAGUCGUAACAAGGUACC
rnacentral:rRNA from 1 species